rnacentral:sRNA from 1 species
GUCUCCACGGCGUCGGAUAGAAAAUAUAUAUUUAGAUACUCCACUUCGUUGCAUUAUUCGUAAUUCCAUCGUCCUGUAGUUUUAAGUUUCAGUUAUUUUUUCCCCGCAUGACCGCCUCAAUGAGGCAUAUACUCAAAAAUACAGGUACAUAAAUUAUGUCUAAUACAAUUACUGGUUCAGUAAAAUGGUUCAACGAAGCUAAAGGUUUUGGUUUUAUCGAGCGUGAAGAUGGCGCUGACGUAUUCGCCCAUUUCAGUGCUAUUACUAGCUCAGGCUUCAAAACUUUAGCUGAAGGCCAGCGCGUUGAGUUCUCUGUAACUCAAGGCCCUAAAGGUCCUCAAGCUGAAAACAUCGUAGCUAUUUAAUCUACGCUGUUCGUGCGCAGGGCUAACCUAUAAGGUUAUCGGCAGCACAAACCUUAGAAAGGCAAGCCGUAACCGGUUUGCCUUUUUU